UACGUAGGGUGCGAGCGUUAAUCGGAAUUACUGGGCGUAAAGCGUGCGCAGGCGGUCUUGUAAGACAGUCGUGAAAGCCCCGGGCUUAACCUGGGAACUGCGAUUGUGACUACAAGGCUAGAGUAUGUCAGAGGGGGGUAGAAUUCCACGUGUAGCAGUGAAAUGCGUAGAGAUGUGGAGGAAUACCGAUGGCGAAGGCAGCCCCCUGGGAUAAUACUGACGCUCAUGCACGAAAGCGUGGGGAGCAAACAGG
rnacentral:rRNA from 1 species